CGUAAAGCGCAUGCAGGUGGUUUGUUAAGUCAGAUGUGAAAGCCCGGGGCUCAACCUCGGAAUUGCAUUUGAAACUGGCAGACUAGAGUACUGUAGAGGGGGGUAGAAUUUCAGGUGUAGCGGUGAAAUGCGUAGAGAUCUGAAGGAAUACCGGUGGCGAAGGCGGCCCCCUGGACAGAUACUGACACUCAGAUGCGAAAGCGUGGGGAGCAAACAGGAUUAGAUACCCUGGUAGUCCACGCCGUAAACGAUGUCUACUUGGAGGUUGUGGCCUUGAGCCGUGGCUUUCGGAGCUAACGCGUUAAGUAGACCGCCUGGGGAGUACGGUCGCAAGAUUAAAACUCAAAUGAAUUGACGGGGGCCCGCACAAGCGGUGGAGCAUGUGGUUUAAUUCGAUGCAACGCGAAGAACCUUACCUACUCUUGACAUCCAGAGAACUUUCCAGAGAUGGAUUGGUGCCUUCGGGAACUCUGAGACAGGUGCUGCAUGGCUGUCGUCAGCUCGUGUUGUGAAAUGUUGGGUUAAGUCCCGCAACGAGCGCAACCCUUAUCCUUGUUUGCCAGCGAGUAAUGUCGGGAACUCCAGGGAGACUGCCGGUGAUAAACCGGAGGAAGGUGGGGACGACG
rnacentral:rRNA from 1 species